rnacentral:rRNA from 1 species
AACGAACGCUGGCGGCAUGCCUAACACAUGCAAGUCGAACGAGAUCUUCGGGUCUAGUGGCGCACGGGUGCGUAACGCGUGAGAAUCUGCCCUUUGGUUCGGAAUAACAGUUGGAAACGGCUGCUAAUACCGGAUGAUGACGAAAGUCCAAAGAUUUAUCGCCAGAGGAUGAGCCCGCGUAGGAUUAGCUAGUUGGUGUGGUAAAGGCGCACCAAGGCGACGAUCCUUAGCUGGUCUGAGAGGAUGAUCAGCCACACUGGGACUGAGACACGGCCCAGACUCCUACGGGAGGCAGCAGUGGGGAAUAUUGGACAAUGGGCGAAAGCCUGAUCCAGCAAUGCCGCGUGAGUGAUGAAGGCCUUAGGGUUGUAAAGCUCUUUUACCCGGGAUGAUAAUGACAGUACCGGGAGAAUAAGCUCCGGCUAACUCCGUGCCAGCAGCCGCCGUAA